rnacentral:rRNA from 1 species
AUUGAACGCUGGCGGCAGGCCUAACACAUGCAAGUCGAGCGGGACGGCUGACGGGUGAGUAAUGCCUGGGAGUCUACCUGGUAGUGGGGGAUGACGUCCUGAAACGGGCGCUAGUACAGCAUGCUAUCAGAUGAGCCUAGGUCGGAUUAGCUAGUUUGUGGGGUAAAGGCCUACCAAGGCGACGAUCCGUAACUGGUCUGAGAGUAUGAUCAGUCACACUGGAAAGGAGACACGGGGUAGACUCCUACGGGAGGCAGCAGUGUGGAAUAUUGGACAAUGGGGGAAAGACUGAUCCAGCCAUGCAGCGUGUGUGAAGAAGGGCUGCGGAGUGUAAAGCACGUUAAGUUGGGAGGAGUGACAAACAGAAGAAGCACCGGCUAACUUCGUGCCAGCCGACGCGGUAAUAC